CCGAUUAGCUUAAGCCUAAAAAAGGUCCAAGAAAUAAUGGAUGUGCAAAAGCCUAUGGACAAGGAUUGUUUCAAUAUGGGUGUGAGGAUGUUCGCUUGUGACGAGAUCAACCUGUUAAUGGACGAACAAUAUCACUACAUGGACCUACAGUUCUGGUUGUUGUGUGACUUUGGACGACAUCCGAAAUAUCGAAGGAAGCUUGAUGUCCAUUUGUUGGCAAAAAAGUUUGAUACGUGGCCUGGGAUGGAGUAUAAUAUUUCACAGUGCAAGUUGAUUCUAUUGCCAACAUGUCAGCACGGACAUUUUAUACUAUUUGCAUUCGACAUAGUGGCUAGAAGUGUAUCGAUAUUAGACCCACUGCCUAUACCGGAUUGGUUUAAA